rnacentral:rRNA from 1 species
UACGGAGGGUGCAAGCGUUUAUCCGGAUUCACUGGGUUUAAAGGGAGCGUAGGUGGCUUUGUAAGUCAGUGGUGAAAUCUUAGAGCUUAACUUUAAAACUGCCAUUGAUACUGCUUAGCUUGAAUCACGUCGAGGUGGAUGGAAUAUUACAUGUAGCGGUGAAAUGCUUAGAUAUGUAAUAGAACACCGAUUGCGAAGGCAGUUCACUAGGCGUGUAUUGACACUGAGGCUCGAAAGCGUGGGGAUCAAACAGG